UACAGAGGUCCCGAGCGUUGUUCGGAUUCAUUUGGGCGUUAAAAGGGGUGCGUAAGGCGGCGGGGCAAGUCUUGAUGUGAAAUUCCUGGGGCUCAACCCUGGAACUGCAUUGGAUACUUGCCUUGCUAGAGUACUGGAGAGGAAACUGGAAUUUAACGGUGUAGCAGUGAAAUGCGUAGAGAUCGUAAGGAAGACCAGUGGCGAAGGCGAGUUUCUGGACAGUUACUGACGCUGAGGCACGAAGGCCAGGGGAGCAAACGGG
rnacentral:rRNA from 1 species